GAUGAACGCUGGCGGCGUGCUUAACACAUGCAAGUCGAACGGGAAACCUUUUAUUGAAGCUUCGGCAGAUUUAGCUGGUUUCUAGUGGCGGACGGGAGCGUAACGCGUGGGUAACCUGCCUUAUACAGGGGGAUAACAACCAGAAAUGGUUGCUAAUACCGCAUAAGCGCACAGGACCGCAUGGUCCGGUGUGAAAAACUACGGUGGUAUAAGAUGGACCCGCGUUGGAUUAGCUAGUUGGCAGGGUAACGGCCUACCAAGGCGACGAUCCAUAGCCGGCCUGGGAGGGGGAACGGCCACAUUGGGACUGAGACACGGCCCAGACUCCUACGGGAGGCAGCAGUGGGGAAUAUUGCACGAUGGGGGAAACCCUGAUGCAGCGACGCCGCGUGAAGGAAGAAGUAUCUCGGUAUGUAAACUUCUAUCAGCAGGGAAGAUAGUGACGGUACCUGACUAAGAAGCCCCGGCUAACUACGUG
rnacentral:rRNA from 1 species